rnacentral:rRNA from 1 species
GGGUUGUGAGGUUAAGCGACUAAGCGUACACGGUGGAUGCCCUGGCAGUCAGAGGCGAUGAAGGACGUGCUAAUCUGCGAUAAGCGUCGGUAAGGUGAUAUGAACCGUUAUAACCGGCGAUUUCCGAAUGGGGAAACCCAGUGUGUUUCGACACACUAUCAUUAACUGAAUCCAUAGGUUAAUGAGGCGAACCGGGGGAACUGAAACAUCUAAGUACCCCGAGGAAAAGAAAUCAACCGAGAUUCCCCCAGUAGCGGCGAGCGAACGGGGAGCAGCCCAGAGCCUGAAUCAGUGUGUGUGUUAGUGGAAGCGUCUGGAAAGGCGCGCGAUACAGGGUGACAGCCCCGUACACAAAAAUGCACAUAUUGUGAGCUCGAUGAGUAGGGCGGGACACGUGGUAUCCUGUCUGAAUAUGGGGGGACCAUCCUCCAAGGCUAAAUACUCCUGACUGACCGAUAGUGAACCAGUACCGUGAGGGAAAGGCGAAAAGAACCCCGGCGAGGGGAGUGAAAAAGAACCUGAAACCGUGUACGUACAAGCAGUGGGAGCACGCUUAGGCGUGUGACUGCGUACCUUUUGUAUAAUGGGUCAGCGACUUAUAUUCUGUAGCAAGGUUAACCGAAUAGGGGAGCCGAAGGGAAACCGAGUCUUAACUGGGCGUUAAGUUGCAGGGUAUAGACCCGAAACCCGGUGAUCUAGCCAUGGGCAGGUUGAAGGUUGGGUAACACUAACUGGAGGACCGAACCGACUAAUGUUGAAAAAUUAGCGGAUGACUUGUGGCUGGGGGUGAAAGGCCAAUCAAACCGGGAGAUAGCUGGUUCUCCCCGAAAGCUAUUUAGGUAGCGCCUCGUGAAUUCAUCUCCGGGGUAGAGCACUGUUUCGGCAAGGGGGUCAUCCCGACUUACCAACCCGAUGCAAACUGCGAAUACCGGAGAAUGUUAUCACGGGAGACACACGGCGGGUGCUAACGUCCGUCGUGAAGAGGGAAACAACCCAGACCGCCAGCUAAGGUCCCAAAGUCAUGGUUAAGUGGGAAACGAUGUGGGAAGGCCCAGACAGCCAGGAUGUUGGCUUAGAAGCAGCCAUCAUUUAAAGAAAGCGUAAUAGCUCACUGGUCGAGUCGGCCUGCGCGGAAGAUGUAACGGGGCUAAACCAUGCACCGAAGCUGCGGCAGCGACACUAUGUGUUGUUGGGUAGGGGAGCGUUCUGUAAGCCUGCGAAGGUGUGCUGUGAGGCAUGCUGGAGGUAUCAGAAGUGCGAAUGCUGACAUAAGUAACGAUAAAGCGGGUGAAAAGCCCGCUCGCCGGAAGACCAAGGGUUCCUGUCCAACGUUAAUCGGGGCAGGGUGAGUCGACCCCUAAGGCGAGGCCGAAAGGCGUAGUCGAUGGGAAACAGGUUAAUAUUCCUGUACUUGGUGUUACUGCGAAGGGGGGACGGAGAAGGCUAUGUUGGCCGGGCGACGGUUGUCCCGGUUUAAGCGUGUAGGCUGGUUUUCCAGGCAAAUCCGGAAAAUCAAGGCUGAGGCGUGAUGACGAGGCACUACGGUGCUGAAGCAACAAAUGCCCUGCUUCCAGGAAAAGCCUCUAAGCAUCAGGUAACAUCAAAUCGUACCCCAAACCGACACAGGUGGUCAGGUAGAGAAUACCAAGGCGCUUGAGAGAACUCGGGUGAAGGAACUAGGCAAAAUGGUGCCGUAACUUCGGGAGAAGGCACGCUGAUAUGUAGGUGAAGUCCCUCGCGGAUGGAGCUGAAAUCAGUCGAAGAUACCAGCUGGCUGCAACUGUUUAUUAAAAACACAGCACUGUGCAAACACGAAAGUGGACGUAUACGGUGUGACGCCUGCCCGGUGCCGGAAGGUUAAUUGAUGGGGUCAGCGCAAGCGAAGCUCUUGAUCGAAGCCCCGGUAAACGGCGGCCGUAACUAUAACGGUCCUAAGGUAGCGAAAUUCCUUGUCGGGUAAGUUCCGACCUGCACGAAUGGCGUAAUGAUGGCCAGGCUGUCUCCACCCGAGACUCAGUGAAAUUGAACUCGCUGUGAAGAUGCAGUGUACCCGCGGCAAGACGGAAAGACCCCGUGAACCUUUACUAUAGCUUGACACUGAACAUUGAGCCUUGAUGUGUAGGAUAGGUGGGAGGCUUGGAAGUGUGGACGCCAGUCUGCAUGGAGCCGACCUUGAAAUACCACCCUUUAAUGUUUGAUGUUCUAACGUUGACCCGUAAUCCGGGUUGCGGACAGUGUCUGGUGGGUAGUUUGACUGGGGCGGUCUCCUCCUAAAGAGUAACGGAGGAGCACGAAGGUUGGCUAAUCCUGGUCGGACAUCAGGAGGUUAGUGCAAUGGCAUAAGCCAGCUUGACUGCGAGCGUGACGGCGCGAGCAGGUGCGAAAGCAGGUCAUAGUGAUCCGGUGGUUCUGAAUGGAAGGGCCAUCGCUCAACGGAUAAAAGGUACUCCGGGGAUAACAGGCUGAUACCGCCCAAGAGUUCAUAUCGACGGCGGUGUUUGGCACCUCGAUGUCGGCUCAUCACAUCCUGGGGCUGAAGUAGGUCCCAAGGGUAUGGCUGUUCGCCAUUUAAAGUGGUACGCGAGCUGGGUUUAGAACGUCGUGAGACAGUUCGGUCCCUAUCUGCCGUGGGCGCUGGAGAACUGAGGGGGGCUGCUCCUAGUACGAGAGGACCGGAGUGGACGCAUCACUGGUGUUCGGGUUGUCAUGCCAAUGGCACUGCCCGGUAGCUAAAUGCGGAAGAGAUAAGUGCUGAAAGCAUCUAAGCACGAAACUUGCCCCGAGAUGAGUUCUCCCUGACUCCUUGAGAGUCCUGAAGGAACGUUGAAGACGACGACGUUGAUAGGCCGGGUGUGUAAGCGCAGCGAUGCGUUGAGCUAACCGGUACUAAUGAACCGUGAGGCUUAACCUUACAACGCCGAAGGUGUUU